GUGGUGAGGUGUGUGGUGUGAUUUGAGGGGUUAGGUGUGUGUGGUGUGAGUGUGUGUGUAUGGUGAGGUGUGUGUGUCUGGGGUGUGAUUUGAAGUGUGUGUGGUGUGAGGUGUAUGUGGUGUGAUUUGAUGUGUGUGUAUGUGGCGUGAGAUGUGUAUGGUGUGAUUUGAGGGGUGUGUGGUGUGACGUGUGUGGUGUGAUUUGAGGUGUGUGUGAUGAGGUGUGUGGUGUGAUUUGAGGGGUGAGGUGUGUGUGGUGUGAGGUGUGUGUGGUGUGAUUUGAGGUGUGUGUGGUGAGGUGUGUGGUGUGAUUUGAGGGGUGAGGUGUGUAUGGUCUGAGGUGUGUGUGUGUGGUGAGGUGUGUGUGUCUGUGGUGUGUUGUGGGUGGGUGCACA
rnacentral:lncRNA from 10 species